UCCUACGGGAGGCAGCAGUGAGGAAUAUAGGUCAAUGGGCGCGAGCCUGAACCAGCCAAGUAGCGUGAAGGAUGACUGCCCUACGGGUUGGAAACUUCUUUUCUAAAGGAAUAAAGUGAGGCACGUGUGCCUUUUUGUAUGUACUUUAUGAAUAAGGAUCGGCUAACUCCGUGCCAGCAGCCGCGGUAAUACGGAGGAUCCGAUCGUUGUCCGGAUUCAUUGGGUUUAAAGGGUGCGUAGGUUGUUUUAUACGUUAGC
rnacentral:rRNA from 1 species